UGCUGUCCUACAGACUUAAAGUAAACAUGGUUGUAUCAAUUUUCGGUGUCUGUGCACUUCUAAUCUGGCCAUAACAAGCAUUUUUAGCCUCAUGCAGAAGACGGCUUUGAAUGCAAACAUGAAGGUCGUGCUUGUAGUGAAUUGACAUAUUUUGACUUGAAAGCAACUGAUAAAGAUGACGAUGAUUUAGACAGUUGAUUUAUAUGUGUACUAGCACAUGCAUAAAUAUCAGUAUAUACAGAUAAAGGAAAAAAGCAACACAGUAGAGGCGAGAAGAAAAAGCAGACAGCAUUGACUUUAAAAUACAAAAUGUUUGUCUUGAAUUUGUCACACUUUAAAAACAGAUAAAGCAUGUGUAACUUGUACAAUAAACUUGCAGCUAAAGACUUGGUCUUUUUAAAAAUUAUUUAAAAAAUUAUAAUUUCUUGGGUGUGAAUUUAUCUGCAUCUAAGGAACAUGGUCAAGGAUAUUCAGGGGCAUGGAGUUACUUUCCUAGUUGUUGAGUAAUGUUUGACUGUUGCUCUGAGUGACAGUGUAUUCAUUGGAAAACUAGAAUAUCAUAAAAGGAACUCACUGUUUAUUGAAUUUGUAGCUGGCACACAUUUUACUUUAGACUUUGACUAAGGAGUCAUAAGGGUAACCUCAUGAAAGCAUAGAGGGGAGAAAACUGUUUACUGAAUUUGAAGUUAAUUGUGGUCAUUCUAAGGUUUAUAAUUUUUAAUGUAAAUAUAGGGUUUAUAGGGUUAAUAUGAUGCUAGAUAAAUACUUCAGCUGAAGGCCAUUUUAGCUCUGUAAAAAAGUAUUUAUUUGUCUCUCUGGAGUCCUGGAGUUCGCAUUCUGUUUAAAUGGCAGAAAUGAAAAUGUGGCAAUCCUCCCAGACUUCCUUUGGAUUGUGAUUUACUCAGCACAGCCUUGUAAUUGUUUUUUUUUUUUUUUAACAAAGAGAUUCUGAAGCUAAUAACCGUCUAGUUGGAGGUCCCCCAGUGGCCAGGCAAAAUGACUGCUUGGCAUUGUGCACCUUGUAAAUGAAGAUGUUUGCAAUCCUAUUUUCCUGCCGGAGAGCCUGAUGCAUAUGUGCAAGCUGAUUCCCUCUGCCAUUGAAAGACUGUCGUGCUGUCUUUGGACAGCAGGAGCAAGUAUGGAAUGGGACUGCCAUCUUCCUGGGACAGUCCUUGCUAAAGGUUCAGUUCUGGUGUUCCGGGGAAUAGGUGAGAAGAAGGGAAGGCUCUUCUGCUCUUCAGGCUGUGUCUUCCACGUGUUGCAUGUAGAAAUGAAGCCAGUCACAUGUGAUGGGACUUGCCUUCAGCACAAAAAUGAGCUUGAGUUACUGGACUUGCUCUGAGCUUGGUGGAGGCAAACACUUGGACUGCAGGACAAUGCAAGAGCUGCACAGUGAAUUAGCAGACACGUUGAGUUAGGUUAUGUGUUAUCUUUGUCUGGCAGGAGGCCCAGAGGAAGAAUGGUUUAAGCUCUAACCGCAUAUCUCCCAGAGUGUUGUUUAGUCUGAAUGUGGAGCACUGGUUAGCUGGGCGCUAUAUAUAUAUUUUUUAAUAAAAAUAAGUAAUUUGUAUUUACAUAUGAAUUUUAAAUAUAUAUAACAUGUAUCUUUUAGCCAUAUGUACAUAUACAAGAGCGUGCUGUGGAUACAGGACUACAACUUUCUAUCAAUAUUUACACUACCAAAGUCCUAGUGAAAUCACAUUCAGAAACUUAAAAACAACCGGAGAGGGGAAAAAAAAAGCUUAAAAAAAAAAAAAAGCGAGUACAUUGUCUAGACAGUGAUUC